rnacentral:rRNA from 1 species
AGUGAACGCUGGCGGCAGGCCUAACACAUGCAAGUCGAGCGGCAGCGCGUCCGACCACCCUCGGGUGGUCGGAUGGCGGCGAGCGGCGGACGGGUGAGGAAUGCAUCGGAAUCUGCCUCGUUGUGGGGGAUAACGUAGGGAAACUUACGCUAAUACCGCAUACGACCUACGGGUGAAAGUGGGGGACCUUCGGGCCUCACGCGAUGAGAUGAGCCGAUGCCGGAUUAGCUAGUUGGCGGGGUAGAGGCCCACCAAGGCGACGAUCCGUAGCUGGUCUGAGAGGAUGAUCAGCCACACUGGAACUGAGACACGGUCCAGACUCCUACGGGAGGCAGCAGUGGGGAAUAUUGGACAAUGGGGGCAACCCUGAUCCAGCCAUGCCGCGUGAGGGAGAAGGUCCUCUGGAUUGUAAACCUCUUUUGGCAGGAACAAACCUGCGCUAUACGCGCAGCUGAGGGUACCUGCAGAAUAAGCACCGGCUAACU